UACGGAAGGAGCAGUGGGGAAUAUUGCACAAUGGGCGCAAGCCUGAUGCAGCCAUGCCGCGUGUAUGAAGAAGGCCUUCGGGUUGUAAAGUACUUUCAGUCGUGAGGAAGGUGUUAAGGUUAAUAACCUUAGCAAUUGACGUUAGCGACAGAAGAAGCACCGGCUAACUCCGUGCCAGCAGCCGCGGUAAUACGGAGGGUGCGAGCGUUAAUCGGAAUUACUGGGCGUAAAGGGCACGCAGGCGGUUAAUUAAGUUGGAUGUGAAAUCCCCGGGCUUAACCUGGGAAUGGCAUUCAAGACUGGUUAGCUAGAGUCUUGUAGAGGGGGUUAGAAUUCCAUGUGUAGCGGUGAAAUGCGUAGAGAUGUGGAGGAAUACCGGUGGCGAAGGCGGCCCCUGGACAAAGACUGACGCUCAUGUGCGAAAGCGUGGGGAGCAAACAGGGAUUAGAUACC
rnacentral:rRNA from 1 species